rnacentral:rRNA from 1 species
UAGCAAUACGUAGGCUGGCUAGUGGCGCAAGGGUGCGUAACACGUGGGCAACCUGCCCCUGAGUUUGGGAUAGCCCGCCGAAAGGCGGAUUAAUACCGGAUGCGGCCAUCUCGCGAUUGCGGGAGACGCUAAAGUCGGCGCAAGCUGACGCUUGGGGAUGGGUCCGCGGCCUAUCAGCUAGUUGGUGAGGUAACGGCUCACCAAGGCGAUGACGGGUAGCUGGUCUGAGAGGACGACCAGCCACACUGGAACUGAGACACGGUCCAGACACCUACGGGUGGCAGCAGUCGAGAAUUUUUCUCAAUGGGGGAAACCCUGAGGGAGCGACGCCGCGUGGAGGAUGAAGGUCUUCGGAUUGUAAACUCCUGUCAUUGGUGAACAAGAUCUCUGCGUUAACUGCGCGGGGGUUUGAUAGUAGCCGAAGAGGAAGGGACGGCUAACUCUGUGCCAGCAGCCGCGGUAAUACAGAGGUCCCGAGCGUUGUUCGGAUUCAUUGGGCGUAAAGGGUGCGUAGGCGGCUUCCUAAGUUUGAUGUGAAAUCCUGGGGCUCAACCCUGGAACUGCAUUGAAUACUGGGAGGCUAGAGUACUGGAGAGGAAACUGGAAUUCACGGUGUAGCA